UACGUAGGGUGCAAGCGUUAAUCGGAAUUACUGGGCGUAAAGCGUGCGCAGGCGGUUAUGCAAGACAGAUGUGAAAUCCCCGGGCUCAACCUGGGAACUGCAUUUGUGACUGCAUAGCUGGAGUGCGGCAGAGGGGGAUGGAAUUCCGCGUGUAGCAGUGAAAUGCGUAGAUAUGCGGAGGAACACCGAUGGCGAAGGCAGUCCCCUGGGCCUGUACUGACGCUCAUGCACGAAAGCGUGGGGAGCAAACAGG
rnacentral:rRNA from 1 species